AUUGAACGCUGGCGGCAGGCCUAACACAUGCAAGUCGAGCGAGCGGCGGACGGGAGAGUAAUGUAUGGGUACUGCGCUAUAGAGGGGGAUAACUCGUGGAAACGGUGGCUAAUACCGCAUACUAUCGGAUAACCCAUAUGGGAUUAGCUAGUAGGUGGGUAAAAGGCUCACCUAGGCGACGAUCUCUAGCUGGGCCGAGAGGAUGCUCAGCCACACUGGGAGUGAGACACGGCCCAGACGCCUACGGAGGCAGCAGUGGGGAAUAUUGCACAAUGGACGCAAGCCUGAUGCAGCCAUGCCGCGUGUAUGAAGAAGGCCUUAGGGUUGUAAAGUACUUUCAGCGGGGAGGCGUUACCCGCAGAAGAAGCACCGGCUAACUCCGUGCCAGCAGCCGCGGUAAUUC
rnacentral:rRNA from 1 species